rnacentral:lncRNA from 1 species
CAUGUCACUCAAACCAGCUGUAUUAAGGAAGGUGCAAGCUUUUGGGAUUUCUGUUUGGAUUUAGUUUAGGUUCAAAAGAGCACGCACAGAUCCUGAGUGUUGUCAAGCACCCGUGACUGGGAAACGGAGGCGUCCGAUCCGUAUUGGAGUCAAUUCGCCACUUAAUUGAACACAGCCUCGAAGGGAAGGGCCAUAUUUGUGGGCCUGUCUAACAAUUAAGAGUGACCACAUGGAAUGGGGGAUGAAAGGGUUAAAGAAGAACAAAUAUUGAACACAGCUUUUCUAUGAACAAACUGCAGGCAGCUGCUGCUUUGCAAGAAAAACCCUUUGAAAAGAUUCAGCACGUUGCCAUGGAGAACAUCCCACUGAAGGAAUGUAUAGAAGUAGCAGGGUUAACUGAGUGCCUUCCAUCUUCCCUCCAAGGGAUCUGCAAUGAGAUGGGAGAAGGCAACAGGCUGUGUGGGAACCACUGAAGCUGGGAUGGCAGGGAAAGAACAUCUUAGGCUAACUCUUCAAGCCUUGCUGUCACAUUUGCUUUUGAGUCUAUGGUGUCAGCUGCCUACCAGUUGCUUUCAUCUCUAGAAAUCUGUGACUUGCAGUAUGACAAGAACAAAAGGUGACAAUACAAAGGACAAAGGGCAAGGAAUACAGACGGAGAAGCCGCUUAGAGUCUAGGAUGGCAGAGGUUCUCUUGAUCAUUUCAUUUUUGAGCGCUUGUAGAGCUUUGGUGUACCAGAGGUGCUUGAACAGCUUACCACACCACAGAUGAAUGGCCUUUGGAUUUCUCCUAAGAAAAUGUGGCUACCUGAAAUUCAACUCCAUUUUCUGGUCUUCAAUAUUUCUUUUGUGUUCAGUUUGCCAGCUGAGGAGAAGUGGCUAAGCAUAGCCUGUUACUGAUGCUAAAGCCCAAGUUCUGAACCUAACAACUCCAGCAACAUGAUCCUGUUUCAAGAGACAAAAAAGUGACUAAUGAAAGAAAACAAUUGAUGUGCUAUGUAGAGUUUAAAAGAAGGUAAAGAGAAUAAAUUAAAAGCAACAACUCUCUUCUUGACAA